rnacentral:rRNA from 1 species
GUGAACGCUGGCGGUAGGCCUAACACAUGCAAGUCGAACGGCAGCACAGUAAGAGCUUGCUCUUACGGGUGGCGAGUGGCGGACGGGUGAGGAAUACAUCGGAAUCUACUUUUUCGUGGGGAAUAACGUAGGGAAACUUACGCUAAUACCGCAUACGACCUACGGGUGAAAGCAGGGGAUCUUCGGACCUUGCGCGAUUGAAUGAGCCGAUGUCGGAUUAGCUAGUUGGCGGGGUAAAGGCCCACCAAGGCGACGAUCCGUAGCUGGUCUGAGAGGAUGAUCAGCCACACUGGAACUGAGACACGGUCCAGACUCCUACGGGAGGCAGCAGUGGGGAAUAUUGGACAAUGGGCGCAAGCCUGAUCCAGCCAUACCGCGUGGGUGAAGAAGGCCUUCGGGUUGUAAAGCCCUUUUGUUGGGAAAGAAAAGCAGCAGGUUAAUACCCCGCUGUUCUGACGGUACCCAAAGAAUAAGCACCGGCUAACUUCGUG